AACGCGAAGAACCUUACCAAGGUUUGACAUGCAGGGAAAAGCCGUAGAGAUACGGUGUCCGUAAGGGCCCUGCACAGGUGGUGCAUGGCUGUCGUCAGCUCGUGUCGUGAGAUGUUGGGUUAAGUCCCGCAACGAGCGCAACCCUCGUCCUAUGUUGCCAGCGGGUAAUGCCGGGGACUCAUAGGAGACUGCCGGGGUCAACUCGGAGGAAGGUGGGGAUGACGUCAAGUCCUCAUGCCCCUUAUGUCUUGGGCUGCAAACAUGCUACAAUGGCCAGUACAAAGGGUUGCGAGACCGCAAGGUGGAGCGAAUCCCAAAAAGCUGGUCUCAGUUCGGAUUGGGGUCUGCAACUCGACCCCAUGAAGUCGGAGUCGCUAGUAAUCGCAGAUCAGCAACGCUGCGGUGAAUACGUUCCCGGGCCUUGUA
rnacentral:rRNA from 1 species